AGAGGAACAAGGCCAAACUGCGUGGAAAAAAACCACCAGCCGUACUUCCAAUGUACUCCAUGUAAUCGACCUUGUCGAACUGCAUGGCUAAAAUAUUGUAAAGGACGCUAUGAACUCAGGUGCGGCGAUAGACAUACCUACUGCGAUUGCUACUGCGCUCUAUCACCAAACUUGAAACCAUUGCCUGGUCGGCUUCCUAAACAUUGGUGAUGUCAAGCAAGCUUUCGAACAUGUCCAGCAGUCUCCGUAGCACCUAGUAUUGUGGACGGUGUUGUGGACAUCUGAGCCGCCCUCACUGUACAUGCGAGCAAGCAAU
rnacentral:lncRNA from 1 species